GAUGACCGCUGGCGGCGUGCUUAACACAUGCAAGUCGAACGAAGUGGCGAACGGGUGCGUAACGCGUAACCAACCUGCCCUUCAGAGGGGGUCAACAGUUGGAAACGACUUCUAUUACCGCAUACUGAAGGAGGGGAUUGCGUCUGAUUCGCUAGUUGGAGGGGUAACGGCCCACCAGGGCGAUGAUCAGUAGCCGUUCUGAUAGGAAGAACGGCCACAUUGGGACCGAGACACGGCCCAGACUCCUUCGGGAGGCAGAAGUGGGGAAUCUGGCGAAAUGGACGGAAGUCUGACGGGGCAACGCCGCGUGAGUGAUGACGGCCUUCGGGUUGUAAAGCUCUGUUAAUCGGGACGCGGUACCGGAACAGAAAGCCACGGCUAACUACGUGCCAGCAGCCGCGGUAAUAC
rnacentral:rRNA from 1 species